ACGGAAGGCAGCAGUGGGGAAUAUUGCGCAAUGGAGGCAACUCUGACGCAGCAACGCCGCGUGAAGGAUGAAGGUUUUCGGAUUGUAAACUUCUUUGACACAGGACGAUAAUGACGGUACUGUGAAAACAAGCCACGGCUAACUACGUGCCAGCAGCCGCGGUAAUACGUAGGUGGCAAGCGUUGUCCGGAAUUACUGGGUGUAAAGGGCGAGUAGGCGGGAGAGAAAGUCAGCAGUGAAAUACCACGGCUUAACUGUGGGGCUGCUGUUGAAACUUCUUUUCUUGAGUGAUGGAGAGGCAGGCGGAAUUCCCGGUGUAGCGGUGAAAUGCGUAGAGAUCGGGAGGAACACCAGUGGCGAAGGCGGCCUGCUGGACAUUAACUGACGCUGAGGCGCGAAAGCGUGGGGAGCAAACAGGAUUAGAUACCCUGGUA
rnacentral:rRNA from 1 species